CCCUUGGUAACUCAGCUGGAAGAGCGCAAGACUGUAACUGGAAAUCAAUCAUCUUGAGGCCAUCAGUUCAAUUCUGAUUCAAGGGA